rnacentral:lncRNA from 1 species
CCAUCAGUUGAGUCAAGAAGGGGUCUGUGGGCGUAAGGAUGUUCCUCCCCAUCGCUCAUUCUCUCAAGUGUUUUUGGGAAGUGUUUACGCUCGUGACAUCAUGCUAGGUUCUGCCAUAGGCUUGCCUAUCUUCUAUUGUCUCCCCCUUUAGUCAAAGUUCUAGGUGCAUCUCAUUAGGUCUUUUAUGGGUUGUAACGUGGCUUAAGGCAUAAGGUGAGAAUUUUUGGUACGAGGCUAAGGUCAUUCUGAACUUCAUUCUGGGCAACAGACUUCCCAGAUUUUUAAGAUCCCUGCCUAUUCUUGCGGGCCUAAGCACAUACUAACCAAGACAUUAACUCUUUUUUUUUCUUUUUUUUUUUUACUCUUUUUACUUUUUUUUUCUUUUCUUUCUGGACUUUUUCUUUAUUUUGGGAUUAGAUGUCCCAUUUUGCAAUUUUUGCACUAGUCCUGCCCAUAGGAUCCACUACACUAUCUUCCCUUCUUUUGCCCUUAAGUUCAGUUUGACCGGGACGGCUCAAAUCUAGGCAAAUUUAUAAGUGAAUUCAAAUGAAUUAUUAAGCUCAAAAGGGUUCACAAGUGAUAGAUGUAGGGUUGGUCAGUUUGGCUUUGUGGGCUAAAGAAAGAAUUGCCUAAAUCAUUUAACACACCUAGACUAUGUACACAGGGUUCGACUAAGAAUCAAGGCAAGUUCUAGCAUUACCCUAGUCAAGAUGUCAAUUUUCACACAAGAAAGAAAAAGCUGUUAUGGGCAUAAGACAACAUAUAUCAAAGCUCAAAACCUCACAUGGUAUGCCCACAGCCCUAUCCAUCUUUCUCAACUACAUACGACAUGCAUUGAAUUUAAAUCUCAGACUACUUGCACAACAAACUCAGAAUAUAAUCAUGCUAAAUUGAUUGCAAAUCGAAAGGCUAACCACAGGACAAAGAAACAACGCUCGGCCCACCCCACACACACACUUUGCCUUGGGCAAAGUAGGUGUG